rnacentral:rRNA from 1 species
AUUGAACGCUGGCGGCAGGCCUAACACAUGCAAGUCGAGCGGAGCGGCGGACGGGUGAGUAAUGCCUAGGAAUCUGCCUGGUAGUGGGGGAUAACGUCCGGAAACGGGAGCUAAUACAGCAUACUAUCAGAUGAGCCUAGGUCGGAUUAGCUAGUUGGUGGUGUAAAGGCCUACCAAGGCGACGAUCCGUAACUGGUCUGAGAGGAUGAUCAGUCACACUGGAAUGUAGACACGGUCCAGACUUCUACGGGAGGCAGCAGUGGGGAAUAUUGGACAAUGGUCGCAAGCCUGAUCCAGCCAUUCCGCGUGUGUGAAGAAGGGCUUCGGAUUGUAAAGCACUUUAAGUUGGGAGGCGUUACCAACAGAAUAAGCACCGGCUAACUUCGUGCCAGCAGCCGCGGUAAUUC